UACGUAGGAGGCGAGCGUUGUCCGGAAUUACUGGGCGUAAAGAGCGCGUAGGCGGGCCCUUAAGUGGGGGGUGAAAGGUUGGGGCUCAACCCCAACACUGCCUUUCAUACUGGGGGCCUUGAGUGCGGGAGAGGCGAGUGGAAUUCCUGGUGUAGCGGUGAAAUGCGUAGAUAUCAGGAGGAACACCUGUGGCGAAAGCGGCUCACUGGACCAUAACUGACGCUGAUGCACGAAAGCUAGGGGAGCAAACAGG
rnacentral:rRNA from 1 species